AACGAACGCUGGCGGCAUGCCUAACACAUGCAAGUCGAACGAGACCUUCGGGUCUAGUUGCGCACGGGUGCGUAACGCGUGGGAACCUGCCCUUAGGUUCGGAAUAACUCCCCGAAAGGGGUGCUAAUACCGGAUAAUUUCUUCGGACCAAAGAUUUAUCGCCUUUGGAUGGGCCCGCGUUGGAUUAGCUAGUUGGUAGGGUAAAAGCCUACCAAGGCUACGAUCCAUAGCUGGUCUGAGAGGAUGAUCAGCCACACUGGGACUGAGACACGGCCCAGAAUACUACGGGAGGCAGCAGUGGGGAAUAUUGGAAAAUGGGCGAAAGCCUGAUCCAGCAAUGCCGCGUGAGUGAUGAAGGCGUGAGGGUUGUAAAGCUCUUUUACCCGGGAUGAUAAUGACAGUACCGGGAGAAUAAGCUCCGGCUAACUCCGUG
rnacentral:rRNA from 1 species